GUUUUCUCCGAAACACUGCUAACUACAUACACGGCGCAGAACACCACAAACUGAAAGAAAUUUGCGACGAAGACAUCACUCAAUCCUUCUUUUGGAUCAGUUCUAAUGAAGUAUCACAUGUGAUUUCGUUAAAUGGGAAUGGAUGGACAUGUAGCAUGAAUGGAUCAAGCACGUAAUAUAGCUACAUACAACACAGAUAAAUUCAGGUUCUCAAGAUGAAUGCUUCGGUCUGGACCAGGACGUAGGUUCAACUGUGAAGUCGAGGAGGUCAGGAUUGUCUUUAUAUGUAGCUCGGACGGAAAGAAAGAAUCGCAGUGAGCCAUAGCAGGAAACCUCUAAGUGAGGACUAUUUGCAAGACACGUAAGGAAAUGUAAAAAUAGGAAUAUCUCUCUUACGACAUAGGGAUCAAGUGUCGUUGAGUUUUUUUAUCUUUCAAAGUGAAGGGAGUAAAUAAACUGACAGUAACUAAUAACAAUUUA